UUAUUAAUAUAAAUUUACUUUUCAGGUUUGUUUAGCAUCGAAUCCGGACUCAAAAUUUAUGUGUAAAGUAUUAAGCACUAUAUGGUGUUAAAAGCACUAUACAUAAAGAAUUAAUGCGCUUUUGAAAUCGGCUUGCGGAAAAUAGUAAACAUAUGUGUAGUAUCGUAAGGAGCGCGCGACAGUCGGGGCUGUGUUUGCGACCGACAAAGUCCUUUAGCGACAGGAUCGCCGAGAGUCGUUUGUGGAGAGAUCGUCGUCGACGAGGCUACGUAGUCGGUCAGUCCUGCGAGAGCGACCGGGAAGUGAAGACAGCUCUUGAUGUCGCGAGCUGUAAUCUGCUUUGCGUAUAAUAAAGUAUAUCCACAUGCUUGAGUUCACGCUCACGUUAUCCGCGAUUCCUUAUCCCCAUAAAAAACACUACAUGUAUGAAAAAUGUAUUACAUGUGUUACAUGAACUACUGCUGUCAAUUCUGUUCAAACAUGAAAAGUUAUAGAUGCUGUA